UACAGAGGUCUGAUGAUCGGAUAGUUUAAAUGAUCUAAACCAUUUUGGGGGUGAUGAUUAUUGGAAUGUCUUUUGCUCCUAUCUGAUCUCCAUG